GUGUCAGCCGCCGCGGUAAAACCAGCACCUCAAGUGGUCAGGAGGAUUAUUGGGCCUAAAGCAUCCGUAGCCUGUUCUGUAAGUUUUCGGUUAAAUCCAUUAGCUCAACUAAUGGGCUGCCGAAAAUACUGUAGAACUAGGGAGUGGGAGAGGUAGACGGUAUUCGGUAGGAAGGGGUAAAAUCCUUUGAUCUAUUGAGGACCACCUGUGGCGAAGGCGGUCUACCAGAACACGUUCGACGGUGAGGGAUGAAAGCUGGGGGAGCAAACCGGAUUAGAUACCCGGGUAGUCCCAGCUGUAAACGAUGCAGACUCGGUGAUGCCCUGGCUUGUGGCCAGUGCAGUGCCGCAGGGAAGCCGUUAAGUUUGCCGCCUGGGAAGUACGUACGCAAGUAUGAAACUUAAAGGAAUUGGCGGGGGAGCACCACAAGGGGUGAAGCCUGCGGUUCAAUUGGAGUCAACGCCAGAAAUCUUACCCGAAGAGACAGCAGAAUGAAGGUCAAGCUGGAGACUUUACCAGACAAGCUGAGAAGUGGUGCAUGGCCGUCGCCAGCUCGUGCCGUGAGAUGUCCUGUUAAGUCAGGUAACGAGCGAGAUCCCUGCCUCUAGUUGCCACCAUUACUCUCAGGAGUAGUGGGGCGAAUUAGCGGGACCGCCGCAGUUAAUGCGGAGGAAGGAAGGGGCCACGGCAGGUCAGUAUGCCCUGAAACUUUGGGGCCACACGCGGGCUGCAAUGGUAGCGACAAUGGGUUCCGAAUCCGAAAGGAGGAGGCAAUCCUCAAACGCUACCACAGUUAUGAUUGAGGGCUGCAACUCGCCCUCAUGAAUAUGGAAUCCCUAGUAACUGCGUGUCAUUACCGCGCAGUGAAUACGUCCCUGCUCCUUGCACACACUGCCCGUC
rnacentral:rRNA from 1 species